rnacentral:rRNA from 1 species
UACGUAGGGGGCAAGCGUUGUCCGGAUUUAUUGGGCGUAAAGAGCUCGUAGGCGGUUGGGCAAGUCCCGUGUGAAAUCUCCACGCUCAACGUGGAGGCGCCACGUGAGACUGCCCUGACUCGAGUCCGGUAGGGGAGCGUGGAAUUCCCGGUGUAGCGGUGAAAUGCGCAGAGAUCGGGAGGAACACCCGUAGCGAAGGCGGCGCUCUGGGCCGGUACUGACGCUGAGGAGCGAAAGCGUGGGGAGCAAACAGG